CCGGCAACCGGUUCGCUCCGGCGGAUUUUUCUCAUCUCGCCCCGUCCACCGACGGCCGACACCCGUCGAGACAAUACGUUGUGCGAGCCGCGUUCUCACCUUAUUUUAUUAUAUUAUUAAACAAUAAAAAAAAAAACCGCAAUACUUUUCCGUCGAGAAUAUUACGCGUCGGCGGUCGGCGGAUUUUUCUCUGAUCGCGUGUGCGUGUGAACAAAACACAUACCGGAAUAGUGAAAUAUCCGUAGUUAAAAGCCGGGCCGGCCGUAUAAUAAUAAUAAUAUUUUACGUUUUUUUUUUUUCCGCUCUCGUCGUCGCGAAGCGAAAUGAUAUUAUUAACGACAUCCGCCGGUCGUCCCGUCCGAUUAAAACGGGCAAAAAAAAAAAAAUUAAAAACUAUGACGUGUGACCGACCGCGUUAUCGGUGAGCGGCGAAAAAAAAAAAAAAACGCUCGUUGAUUUUUCGUACGUCGCCCAAUAAUAAAUUGACGGUAUCUCCGCGUUUCCGAACGUGAUAAUAAUAAAUUUUUAAUGUCUCGUUCGUAAUCGUUUUUUUUUUCGAUUCGAAUAAGCUCUCGAAUAUUAUUACUCGGAGCCGGUUUGUUUUUUUUUCCCCAACGCCUUCUCUUGCUUAUCGCAUUGAAAAAACGCGCUUUUCAUGUGACGACUGUGCGGCGGGAGGAGGGAAAUAAAAAAAAAAAAAACCGACCGACGUGUCUCGCCGCCGGUAUCUCGCGUAAUUAACGCGCGAAAACCGCCGGCUCUCGUUAUCGCC